ACUAAAAUUUAUAUAUAUUACCUUCGCUCUUUUUCGAUCUUCUGCAUAUUUCCAGUAAAAUGUUCACGUAGGUGUAUAUUAUUACGACAAGGGGAAACCAAUACAUCAUGAUCAUUCCAAAGAGAGAAUAAGUUAUUUCGUGAAAUACUAGCAUCUAAGAAAGAAAAAAAUUACAGUAGAUAUACCAUGUGUAUUUUGAAUUAAAUUAGAAAAGAAAUAUUUAAAAAUUAGUUGAUUCAACAAUUGAAAGCUACAAAAAAGAAAUACGACGUAAGCUUCCUAAAAUGGUCAGUACAAUUUUUUUACUAUAUUGAGUGAGAAAAGAAAGAAAAAAUAGAAAAAAUAAGAUUGCUUUAAAAAAUUAA